rnacentral:rRNA from 1 species
UAGUCCACACCGUAAACGAUGAAUGCCAGACGUCGGGGGCUUGCCCUUCGGUGUCACACCUAACGGAUUAAGCAUUCCGCCUGGGGAGUACGGUCGCAAGAUUAAAACUCAAAGGAUUGACGGGGGCCCGCACAAGCGGUGGAGCAUGUGGUUUAAUUCGAAGCAACGCGCAGAACCUUACCAACCCUCGACAUACUUGUCGCGAUUUCCAGAGAUGGAUUUCAUCAGUUCGGCUGGACAAGAUACAGGUGCUGCAUGGCUGUCGUCAGCUCGUGUCGCGAGAUGUUCGGUUAAGUCCGGCAACGAGCGCAACCCACAUCUUUAGUUGCCAGCAGUUCGGCUGGGCACUCUAAAGAAACUGCCCGUGAUAAGCGGGAGGAAGGUGUGGAUGACGUCAAGUCAGCAUGCCCCUUAUGCUCUGGGCUACACACGUGCUACAAUGGCCGUGACAAAGAGUUGCUACUUUGUGAAAACAAGCUAAGUCUCAUAAACGC